rnacentral:rRNA from 1 species
AGUAGGGAAUAUUGGGCAAUGGGCGAAAGCCUGACCCAGCAACGCCGCGUGUACGAUGAAGGUCUUCGGAUCGUAAAGUACUUUUCUGGGAGAUGAGAAAGGACAGUAUCCCAGGAAUAAGCCUCGGCUAACUACGUGCCAGCAGCCGCGGUAAAACGUAGGAGGCAAGCGUUAUCCGGAGUUACUGGGCGUAAAGCGCGUGCAGGCGGAUGAUUAAGUCGUUUAUGAAAGCCCCUGGCUAAACUGGGGGAGGCUAGACGAUACUGGUUGUCUUGAGUGGGUGAGAGGGAUGUGGAAUUCCGCGUGUAGUGGUGAAAUGCGUAGAUAUGCGGAGGAACACCAGAGGCGAAGGCGACAUCCUGGCACUCAACUGACGCUGAGGCGCGAAAGCAUGGGUAGCGAACGGGAUUAGAUACCCU